rnacentral:tRNA from 1 species
GCAUCGAUAGUUCACCAGUAGAAUGCUUGUUAGCCAAGCAUGUGGUCUGGGUUCGAUUCCUGACUGGUGCA